rnacentral:rRNA from 1 species
CCCUUAGAUGUUCUGGGCCGCACGCGCGCUACACUGACUGGUGCAACAAGUGUCGCUCCUUGGCCGAUAGGCCUGGGCAAUCUUUGAACGCCAGUCGUGAUGGGGAUAGAUUCUUGCAAUUUUUGGUCUUCAACGAGGAAUUCCUAGUAAACGCAAGUCAUCAACUUGCAUUGAUUACGUCCCUGCCCUUUGUACACACCGCCCGUCGCACCUACCGAUUGAAUGGUCCGGUGAAGCCUCCGGAUUGGCGCGCACCUCGGUGCCGCCGAGAAGUUGGCUAAACCUUACCAUUUAGAGGAAGGUGAAGUCGUAACA